rfam:Myotis lucifugus cont2.11340, whole genome shotgun sequence.
GCCUGGGUGGCUCAGUUGGUUGGAGCGUUGUCCUGUGCUCCAGAGGGUCCCAGGUUCAAUUCCUGGUCAAGGCA